UAACUGAAUGUGAAGAGCAGCUCGAUCAAGGAAAGUUUCGUCAUGUUUUAACUUUGGAAUGGCUUCAGCAACAAAAGAAGUAAGAAGAGAUGAGAUCUCUGUGUCCUGACCAACAAGCUAAACUAAAUGAAACAGAAUCAGGUGAUAUGAUGAAGACCUCUGUGGUGCAACCUUUACUCAAAGCCUCGACUAAAUGAGCAGCCUCAUAGCGGACCCGAGACAUGGAAAAUCUGCCCUUUAACACUUCAUACAAGUCGAAGGGGGUUCGUCGUGUCUUUCUCUUAAUUCAGACAUUGACGCACAGGAUGUGAAGGAGGAACCCGAGCGUUAGAAACAAGGAGCGUACAGCGCAUCUCAGGAUCAUUUGUGAACUUCAUUGUCCAUGAGGAAUCCUGCAUCACUUCAUCUGUCAACCCGUCCAUCACCACUGCAAACAAAAUGGGGCCCAUGGCUGCUGCAGAUGUAUUCACACCCAUGACUCCAUGAAUCCAUGAAUCCAUGAAACCAUGUGACCCUCCCACUGCACACCUCACUGCUAUCUUCCUGCUGACCUUCUCCAUGUCUUGCACCGCACCUCCCAGCCAUCCAUCACUUUAUAUAUAGAUAUAGGUGCACUUAUAUAUGUAUAUAUAUGCAUGGGAAAAAUCUAAGACCACUUUUCAUUUAUCAGUUCGCUGGUUUUACUCUUUAUACGUGUAUAUAUGUGUUUGCGUAAAAUUAAAACUGUUUUUAUUCUAUGAACUACUGACAUGUCUCUAAAAUUCCAAGCAAACAUUUUGUCUUUAUUUGCAGAAAAUGACUGAAUAUAAUUUAUAGGUGGAGUGAUAGAUGAAGCAUCGGUGGGUUUUUCAGCAGGAAAAGGAUUCAGUGAACAUGUGUGCCGCUUAAUGAUUCAGGAAACCAAUUGAAAGGUUUUUGAGUGGUCUAGUCAAAGUCUCAAUCAAAUCUGGCUAAUCUGCUGUGGAAUAUCUAUUUUUUUCAAAAAUGAAAAUUUAUGCUAGAAAACUUUUCAGUGUGGCUCAAUUAAAGUACUCCAACUCCAAGAAGAGUGAAUCAAAACUGUUAUGGACUAAAGUGCGACCUGGGGGACCUUUGUCGGUUUUGGAGUAGUUUUUUUUUUGUUGCUGUUGUUGUUGUUGCUCUGCAUUGUAGGAAUGGUUAAAAUGAUACUUCAACAAAUUACUUUUUGUGUUUUCUUU